rnacentral:sRNA from 1 species
CCGAGAUUGGAGCCUCCCGCUCGAACUA